UCGAUGAAGAACGCAGCGAAAUGCGAUACGUAAUGUGAAUUGCAGAAUUCAGUGAAUCAUCGAAUCUUUGAACGCACCUUGCGCCCCUUGGUAUUCCGAGGGGCACACCCGUUUGAGUGUCGUGAAAAUCUCAACCUCCUCGGUUUCUUCUGGACACCGAAGGAGGCUUGGACUUUGGAGGCCUUUGCUGGCGUCUCUCGCCAGCUCCUCUCAAAUGAAUUAGCGGGGUCCUCUUUGCCGAUCCUCGACGUGUGAUAAGAUGUUUCCAUGUCUUGGUUUCUGGCUCUGUUGCUUUUGGGACCCGCUUCUAACCGUCUCAACCCGAGACAAUGUUUGAGCGCGUCUCCCUUCUCGGGAAACGCCCUCAAGCCCACGAACCCUUGACCUCAAAUCGGGUGAGACUACCCGCUGAACUUAA
rnacentral:rRNA from 1 species